rnacentral:lncRNA from 1 species
GGCGCCUUGCGGAGGUCCUCCUCUGUGCGAUCGCGGAGGCACUGCCAUUGCCGGUGCAGGACGAUCUCGCGGUAUCCCAGCGGCGCGCUGGUCUUCGCUUUGAUUCUAACAGAGUGAGCGUCUGUUCCCCCGCAUGGACGUCGCGUUGUUUCUGGAUCGUAUUGGGAAUCGAAUCUGUGGCUCAAAUGGAGCUCGAUAAUGUGAACUUUGGCGUAAUGUGAUGAUUCCUGCUCCGUGCCAGGGCUCAUUACUGUUUGUGGGGGAGCAGUACGACGCGUGGAAAGUGGGCGCCGCUGUUGGUAUUUGGAAGAGCUCUCCACGUGAAUCCUUAGCGUCCCUCGUCACUGUCCCUCAGAUCUGCUGUUGGUGACUGAUACUAUGCAUUUAUGAUUUUUCUUUCGUCCGUUUCCGCGUUGGCAUGAUCGGUGAAACGGUUCGUGUAAAAAAUUAUUGAUCUCGCGUUGAGCAAUUAGACUUGCCUGAGGCUCCAUAUUUCUCGUCCGCCAUGAAUGCUUUCUUCUCCGGGUUGAUUUAGGUCAGCAGAAAACACUGUGAUCCGUGUUUUCCAUUCCGCCUUGAUAUGCCAAAAAAUAAUGGCAGCAAUGAUGUCGAUCGCUGCCCGAUUCCCUGUUCUUCCGAGGAUUAUACGUACGGUGUCACGCGGUGGUGUGAGGGUUGUCACAUAUAGGCAUUAAUCAUUAUUGUUUGGAAUGUUCAAAUGAAGAAAACUUGCUCACAGCCCUGUACACACUUCCAUUUAUUAAUAUUUCUUACUGAGAUAAGGCAAAAGAUAUUACAAAUCGAAUGAGUCAGUUUCUGUAGAACUGAAGCUCAUCAUUGCUCAAGGUUGUGGAGAGCUUCAGCAUGUGGCUGAUGGAUGUGAUCCAUAUCUUGUAGCAGACAUAAUCCUUGACCUUCAAUUUGGUUGCUCCGUGGCUUGUAGCCAUAACAAUGGAGUAUGAUGGAUAUUCUUCUGAGCUCGGUUCCUUGUCCUCCCUGUUCUGUAAGCUGUAGACAAAACCUGGAAUACAGAUUCGCGAUUCAAAUGUCAGUUUGUGUUGCCAAAAUGUUCAAGCUUUUCUAACAUCAUGAACUGGAAAAACUUGCGGCUUACUCUCUUUUCCAUUGGAAAAUGGCGUCAAAGCAUUUAUCUUCUUGACCCUGAGAACGACCUUUGCCUCCUUGUUAAGAAAGACUGAUACUAAUCUGAUCUUCCAGUUUCCUGCAGCCAAGGAGAAAUCAAGCUCCCCAUAUGGUUUUAGAAAACGGACCCUCCAGAAGAACUUUAUCUUCCUGAGAAUAUAAACACAAAUGGAAGGUUAUUUCGAUCAGCAUACCAUCUGGUGUCAUCACAUGAAGUUCAGUACCCUUGGCCAGUGAAUGGACGCACUUCUCAAAAUCAAGAUCAAAUUCCCCGGUUGAAAUG